UGCAAAUGCUCACCCUCACACUCAUGCCUCCAGCGAUCGCUAGGCUAGUGUAUCCAGUGUUCUAAUGGGGACGUGACAGUUUAGGCUGGGAACUGAAAUGGCUCCCAACAUGCCCAUGAGCUGCAGUGUGGAAUAAUAAUGCUUCUAUUGGUUGGGUCCCUUUCGAGGGAGGAGGAGGAGGAGCAGGAGGAGGAGGAGGAGGAGGAAGAGGAAGAAGAGGAGCAGGAGGUGGAGGAGUCGUCGUCUUCCUCCGUGCUGCUAAAUAACUAAGGCAGCCAAUCAGGGCUGGCAGACUCGGCGCGUGGCGGGUCAGGCGCUGUGCCGCAGACGUGUGGCUUCCCGCUUGAUGCUUUCCCGUCUCCAUCGCGAUCCCCUUACCGCUGGCGUUUAGUUUUCAGAGUGCUAUUUUUCUUUCUUCAUCGUGGCUCUGUGUGGCUUGGUCUUAAGGCCCUGGGUGCCACUUAAAAAAAAAAAUCUUCUUUACAAAUAUCCUAAAGAUUAAAUGAUUUUGAUUGGCAAA